rnacentral:rRNA from 1 species
UACGUAGGUGACAAGCGUUGUCCGGAUUUACUGGGCGUAAAGAGCGCGCAGGCGGUCGUUCAAGUCGAGUGUGAAAGCCCCCGGCUCAACUGGGGAGGGUCACUCGAUACUGAUCGACUCGAAGGCAGGAGAGGGAAGUGGAAUUCCCGGUGUAGUGGUGAAAUGCGUAGAUAUCGGGAGGAACACCAGUGGCGAAGGCAAUCCCCUGGGCCUGUACUGACGCUCAUGCACGAAAGCGUGGGGAGCAAACAGG